rnacentral:rRNA from 1 species
GGAUUGACAGGUAACGUUAUACACACAUAUAUAUUUACUCUCGGGUAUUUGUACUUCGCUGUGUAUAUAUAAAAUAUGCUAGUCCUUUCAUGAUUAUGUGAUAGGUGGUGCAUGGCCGUUCUUAGUUCGUGGAGUGAUCUGUCUGCUUAAUUGCGUUUCACUAAGGAUCUAUAUUCAUAUUACGCAUAGCAUUUUGACCCCUUUAUGCUUCGGUAUAAAGCUGCGCGUCAAACCUUGCUAUCUGCGUAUAUUAGAUCCUGAAAGCAACGAACGUGACCGCAACCUCUUGUUGCCUUUAACUAGGUUUUGCUUACGUAUAGCUUCGGCUU